GAAACUAGACUCUCUCGAGCUGGAGAGAGAGAAACAUCGCGUGCGCGGAGCGCAGGACGGACAGGCAACGAGAGCGUCGCCCGCACGCGCGCGCGCUUUCGCGAAGUGCACCUCGCGUCUCCUCUCGCGUCCACGCACGAACGCUGCAAGCGUGCUUUUUUUUUAUCGCGGGAGGAACUCCCCAUCUUGGAAAUUAAACUGCCCGUUCCGUUCUCUGGAUGGCCGGGACGCGGCGUUCGACGGCUGAACGCUCGGGGACCGCGAGUUCUGAAUGGAAAACGCGUCGCUGAAGAGAUGCGCCGAAGAGUUGGGCUUUUCACCAGAUGCUCCAGAUGAUUUCAGCGUCAUGUUCUUUGACGCUGGACGCACGGGAACCUCUAUUUGUCCCCGACACUCGGCCGCUCGUAGCUUACUUUCUGACAGAGAGGAAUAUGAGCAUCGGUUGUUAAAACCUCUCAAACCAAACUGCAGUGUCUUUGUGAGAGACCAGAGGACUGGAGCUGAGGGGAAAAACACCAUCUGCAACUGCCAGCCAUUUACACUGCCUUUUUGGAGCAAGAGGGAGAGAGGAAAAAAAUGGUGCAAUUGUCCAAAUGAAAGAAAAGAAAAAUAAUAGUCAACCCUCAUCCUUCUUCUACCAGCUCCCCUCCCUUCUUCGUCAACGGAAGCAUUUAGUGCCAUCUGUGCCCCCGGAGAAAAGAGGAAAAAAAGAAAGGAGUGAGACUCUACAUCCCAAGUGCCAAUGGGGACAAAGAGGCUGCCAGUUGCCACGGACCACCAGAUGCUGGAAGACUGCAAGUCUGAAUGAGGGGUGUGCUUUCAGGAAGCCAUCUUGAUGGAGAAGCUGGCUGCUGCUCCCUAAAAUGGCUGUGUUGGCAUGAGGCUCCUGGCAAAAAGACUGUGCUGUUUCCCACCUUUCGUCAUCAGCUGCCGGAGAAACCGAGGCCAUCCUGCCAUGUUCAGCUCAAAUGGUCAAUCACAUCACCUCAGGAACCCAGCGUCUCUUCCUGAUGGUUCGCUGUGGACAUUAAACAAGCAGAUGAGGGACGGUUUAAAAUGUGCACUAAUUGAUUUAACCUUGCGGUCUUCAGACAAUCGCUAAUACUGAAUCUCAGAUGUUAGAAAACGUGUUGUACAAUCGUAUCGGUGCUGUAUGAACUGAAGAAAACGAUGUGCCUUAAUGUGUGAAAAGUUUACAAUGAAAGUUGUCAGAAUGGAAAAAUACCAGCAUCUGUGUUUUUUGCAUAUCCUGAUUUACGUGCUUUCCAUUUUCGAUUUGUGUUAUUAUAAAACGUCCCUCUUUAAUGUACGUGAAACUGUGCUCAAUCCAGAUCAUUUUAAUGUAUGGGCUUUGACGCGAGAAUUAUGCCCGGCCUCCCUUUGGAUUAUCCUUUUGUCUGAUUGUGAUGUAUGCAACAAAUAAACGACAUUUGAGCAUUAAAUGAA